GUGUGUGUUCACGUAUUGUUUUUGAAGUAUUUGUUAAUAUGUAUAUCUACAGAGAGAUACAUAGAGAUACUUAGCCAAAGAUACUUCACUUUUCGGCUAUUUCUCACAGUUUAAAAAACCCUAACUAGGUACUGUUUUCACUGAUUAGUUGUUGAGAGCCAACUAAAUGUUAUACUUUGUCCGGGAAAGAUGUACAUUUUCGAAAUUCCCAUAACAUAGAGGAAGAAACUGCUGAGUCUGCCAACCCAGAGACACUCCACGUCGCUGAAAUAUAGAAUGGACAGCUGCCAGAAUGUCAGGACUCAGAUGUUUUAUCUGCAUUUUUGCAAACUGUACAUUUCCAAGUAAAAGAUGAGACUUCCACUUCUCCAGGUUAAGACAAAAUGAGGGGAAGAGAGAGAAACUACAGAAACCUACCUCAGAUAGGCACCAUGUGACUUUCCAACCAGUUCUCAUAUGGCCUGACAAGCACUAUUUAAAGGAGUUUGCAUCUUUCUGUACACACUGCCUUAUUUUUUGUCUAUACCCUGUGAGUCUUGAACUCUGCUUUUCUUCUGGAAACUCUUUAAAAGAUUUUCAAGAGG
rnacentral:lncRNA from 1 species